rnacentral:rRNA from 1 species
UACGUAGGGUGCGAGCGUUGUCCGGAAUUAUUGGGCGUAAAGAGCUCGUAGGCGGUGUGUCGCGUCGGCCGUGAAAACCUGGGGCUUAACUCUGGGCGUGCGGUCGAUACGGGCAUCACUGGAGUUCGGCAGGGGAGACUGGAAUUCCUGGUGUAGCGGUGAAAUGCGCAGAUAUCAGGAGGAACACCGGUGGCGAAGGCGGGUCUCUGGGCCGUAACUGACGCUGAGGAGCGAAAGCAUGGGGAGCGAACAGG